GCUCUGGUAGCAUAGUGGUCAAUGCGCCUGUCUUAUAUUGAGGCACCUCCUCAUGUGCACGCAGGAUAUCGUGGGUUCAACCCCCACCCGGAGCA